UCCCACGGCAGCGCCCGGAGACAUGCCGCGGCCAAAGCAUCAUCGGGUGUCCUCUGCACAUGCUCGGUGGUUGCCUGAAGCCCUUGCCCGCACCCGGAACAUGCCUUGUCGAUUCCUUAGGACGCGUCUCUCCUGUGGAAUUCAUGCAGUUUGACCCCGCUUGAACUGCCCUGGCAAUCCCAUGGCUCAAGGCUAUGGGAUCCUAGGAGUUGCCAUUAUUUGCAACUGAGGAUAUGAUCAAUGGUUUCGUCAGCUUCCUUGCACAGUCUGCAUUUUGGGUCAUCAGCUGAUUUUUCGAUCUUGGCCUUAAUUGCAUUUGUUCUGAUGUCUUGCUCCUGGGCUGCAAGGAUCAGGCCUUCUGUCUCCUUCUUCAGGGUCCCAUUUGUGAGCCAUAGCCAGGUCUUCUCCUUAUCAGCUUUUCCUUCAAUUUUGUCAAGGAACUUUAUUAUUUUAUUUUUGUACCCCGCCUUCAUGGGGCCAAGCCUGGACAACACAGUUUAAAAUGUAAUACGUUAAAAUGCAUUACAACAAUGUAAGGUAAAAUAAAACAACAAAAUUAUAACAUC